rnacentral:rRNA from 1 species
UUAUACAGCGAAACUGCGAAUGGCUCAUUAAAUCAGUUAUCGUUUAUUUGAUAGUACCUUACUACUUGGAUACCCGUGGUAAUUCUAGAGCUAAUACAUGCUAAAAACCCCGACUCACGGAGGGGUGUAUUUAUUAGAUUAAAAACCAAUGCCCUUCGGGGCUUUCCUGGUGAUUCAUAAAUAACUUCUCGGAUCGCAUGGCCUUUGUGCCGGGCGAUGGGUUCAUUCAAAUUUCUGCCCUAUCAACUUUCGAUGGCUGGGUCUUGGCCAGCCAUGGUGACAACGGGUAACGGAGGGUUAGGGCUCGACCCCGGAGAGGGAGCCUGAGAAACGGCUACCACAUCCAAGGAAGGCAGCAGGCGCGCAAAUUACCCAAUCCCGACUCGGGGAGGUAGUGACAAUAAAUACUGAUGCAGGGCUCUUUUGGGUCUUGCAAUUGGAAUGAGUACAAUUUAAAUCCCUUAACGAGGAACAAUUGGAGGGCAAGUCUGGUGCCAGCAGCCGCGGUAAUUCCAGCUCCAAUAGCGUAUAUUAAAGUUGUUGAGGUUAAAAAGCUCGUAGUUGAACCUUGGGCCUGGCUGGCCGGUCCGCCUCACCGCGUGCACUGGUCCGGCCGGGUCUUUCCCUCUGGGGAGCCGCAUGCCCUUUACUGGGCGUGCCGGGGAACCAGGACUUUUACCGUGAAUAAAUUGGAUCGCUUAAAGAAGGCCUAUGCUCGUACAGUACAGCAUGGAAAUAAUGAAAUAGGACGUGUGGUUCUAUUUUGUUGGUUUCUAGGACCGCCGUAAUGAUUAAUAGGGACAGUCGGGGGCGUCAGUAUUCAAAUUGUCAGAGGUGAAAUUCUUUGGAUUUAUUUGAAGACUAACCUACCUGGCGAAAGCAUUCGCCAAGGAUGUUUUCAUUAAUCAGGAACGAAAGUUAGGGGAUCGAAGACGAUCAGAUACCGUCGUAGUCUUAACCAUAAACUAUGCCGAUUAGGGAUCGGACGGUGUUAUUUUUUGACCCGUUCGGCACCUUACGAAAAAUCAAAAUGUU